rnacentral:rRNA from 1 species
GACGAACCGUGCGAACGUUGUUCGGAUUCACUGGGCUUAAAGGGCGCGUAGGCGGACCCAAAAGUCCGGGGUGAAAUCUUUCGGCUUAACCGGAAAAUCGCCUUGGAUACUGUGGGUCUCGAGGGAGGUAGGGGCAUGCGGAACUUCCGGUGGAGCGGUGAAAUGCGUUGAUAUCGGAAGGAACUCCGGUGGCGAAAGCGGCGUACUGGGUCUUAUCUGACGCUGAGGCACGAAAGCUAGGGUAGCGAACGGG